UACGAAGGGUGCAAGCGUUACUCGGAAUUACUGGGCGUAAAGCGUGCGUAGGUGGUUCGUUAAGUCUGAUGUGAAAGCCCUGGGCUCAACCUGGGAAUUGCAUUGGAUACUGGCGGGCUAGAGUACGGUAGAGGGUGGCGGAAUUCCUGGUGUAGCAGUGAAAUGCGUAGAUAUCGGGAGGAACACCUGUGGCGAAGGCGGCUUUCUGGGCCUUACCUGACGCUGAGACGCGAAGGCGUGGGGAGCGAACCGG
rnacentral:rRNA from 1 species